CCUACGGGGGGCUGCAGUGGGGAAUAUUGCACAAUGGGCGCAAGCCUGAUGCAGCCAUGCCGCGUGUGUGAAGAAGGCCUUCGGGUUGUAAAGCACUUUCGGCGGGGAGGAAGGCGUUAAGGUUAAUAACCUUGGCGAUUGACGUUACCCGCAGAAGAAGCACCGGCUAACUCCGUGCCAGCAGCCGCGGUAAUACGGAGGGUGCAAGCGUUAAUCGGAAUUACUGGGCGUAAAGCGCACGCAGGCGGUCUGUCAAGUCGGAUGUGAAAUCCCCGGGCUCAACCUGGGAACUGCAUUCGAAACUGGCAGGCUGGAGUCUUGUAGAGGGGGGUAGAAUUCCAGGUGUAGCGGUGAAAUGCGUAGAGAUCUGGAGGAAUACCGGUGGCGAAGGCGGCCCCCUGGACAAAGACUGACGCUCAGGUGCGAAAGCGUGGGGAGCAAACAGGAUUAGAUACCCGGGUAGUC
rnacentral:rRNA from 1 species